GAAGACGGACAUGGACGGCCUGCUGACCGGGGGAGAAGACGGACUGGCUGGCCUGCUGACCGACUGGUGGAGGAGAUGAUAAUAGCACCCUGCUGGCACACUGAUGAUGCUGUCAGCGAAUAGGACUUGCAUCGCCGUAAAAUGGACUGGCUGGCCUGCUGACCGGGGGAGAAGACGGACUGGCUGGCCUGCUGACCGGGGGAGAAGACGGACUGGCUGGCCUGCUGACCGGGGGAGAAGACGGACUGGCUGGCCUGCUGACCGACUGGUGGAGGAGAUGAUAAUAGCACCCUGCUGGCACACUGAUGAUGCUGUCAGCGAAUAGGACUUGCAUCGCCGUAAAAUGGACUGGCUGGCCUGCUGACCGAGGGAGAAGACGGACUGGCUGGCCUGCUGACCGGGGGAGAAGACGGACUGGCUGGCCUGCUGACCCGAGGGAGAAGACGGACCGGCUGGCCUGCUGACCCGAGGGAGAAGACGGACUGGCUGGCCUGCUGACCGACGGGUGGA